rnacentral:rRNA from 1 species
AACGAACGCUGGCGGCAUGCCUAACACAUGCAAGUCGAACGAUGCUUUCGGGCAUAGUGGCGCACGGGGUGCGUAACGCGUGGGAAUCUGCCCCUUGGUUCGGAAUAACAGUUAGAAAUGACUGCUAAUACCGGAUGACGACGUAAGUCCAAAGAUUUAUCGCCGAGGGAUGAGCCCGCGUAGGAUUAGCUAGUUGGUGUGGUAAAGGCGCACCAAGGCGACGAUCCGUUAGCUGGUCUGAGAGGAUGAUCAGCCACACUGGGACUGAGACACGGCCCAGACUCCUACGGGAGGCAGCAGUGGGGAAUAUUGGACAAUGGGCGCAAGCCUGAUCCAGCAAUGCCGCGUGAGUGAUGAAGGCCUUAGGGUUGUAAAGCUCUUUUACCCGUUGAUGAUAAUGACAGUAGCGGGAGGAAUAAGCCCCGGCUAACUCCGUGCCAGCAGCCGCGGUAAU